UCAUUUGAAACCCCGCAGGUGGUAUUGUAUAAGCAUCUUGUCACACAUGCUUACUUUGGCGCGCUGUUCCGGUCACGUGGCUAACAAACCCAUGACGCCAGACGUUCUCCACAGCAACGACAUAAAGACGCCAUUACCGUUGCCUUCAAUUGACCUUUUCUUCACGGCCGCGCUUAAAAUUAUUUAUUGGUAAAACAAUUGUAAUACGAAUCACAUAAAGAACACAUUUACGCUAGAACGACGCUGAGGUUAUUCGGUCUGACUAGAAAAGCAGACAAAAGAAGUCACAGCGCUCACCGCGAAAUCUCACGGGCUCCGAGUCCAGAAUGCGAAAAUAAUUACGUUGGGUACAAAAUGGCGAACGCUCUCUCUUCUCCUCGGCAUGCGCAGAAUGAGCAGAAGCUUUCCCUCUGAAAUGAAGCUCCGUUCCCAUACAUCCUUUCAGCCAAUGGGCUUCGCAGUCGGGACGCUUCCGAGUCAAUUCGACCAAUCAAAACCGUGGACAACGCAGCACAGGAAACAUGUAGCCAAUCGGAGAUCAGCGUGGAUCUGUUGUAUUUGCAAAGAGUGAGAAUCAAAGAACACCAAUGAGAAAGCGUAAUUCGCAGCGCCGCUUUCGUACUCGGCAAUCAGGUUACGCGCUUCAGUUUAGCCAAUAGAAUUUUGCUUAGCGGGCAGCCAAUCGCAAUGCUCGGAAUUUGCCCACAGUGGCCCCGGCAGCCAAUAGGGAUCCGAGAAACAAAACCUCAGCUCAACAGCUUGUUAUUUCGUCCUAUGCCUUUGCAACCUAGUCGAAUGCUGAGCUGAAGCAGUCAUAUAGGAGCAUCAGUCAAAACCAUUCGAGCUGGACUCCCUCAAAUAGCCAUCAAGAUGAAGGUAGCAGAUGAACCUGCCUACCUGACUGUGGGGACGGAUGUGAGCGCAAAGUACCGUGGUGCCUUCUGCGAGGCAAAAAUCAAGACUGUUAAACGCAUUGUGAAAGUUAAGGUUGUGCUUAAAGGAGACAGCACCUCACAAGUCGUCCAAGAUGACCAAGUCAAAGGACCCUUAAGGGUUGGCUCAACAGUGGAAGUGAAGAGCC